AUACAGAGGUGGCAAGCGUUGUUCGGAUUUAUUGGGCGUAAAGGGUCCGUAGGCGGCUUGGCAAGUCGGGUGUGAAAGCCCAGGGCUCAACCCUGGAACUGCACUCGAAACUGCUGAGCUAGAGUCCCGGAGGGGGUGGCGGAAUUCCCGGUGUAGAGGUGAAAUUCGUAGAUAUUGGGAGGAAUACCAGUGGCGAAGGCGGCCUUCUGGACGGUGACUGACGCUCAGACGCGAAAGCGUGGGGAGCAAACAGGAUUAGAUACCCCAGUAGUCC
rnacentral:rRNA from 1 species